UACAGAGGUCCCAAGCGUUGUUCGGAUUCAUUGGGCGUAAAGGGUGCGUAGGUGGCAUGGUAAGUCGGGUGUGAAAUCCCGGGGCUCAACCCCGGAACUGCACUCGAUACUGCCGUGCUCGAGUACUGGAGAGGAGACUGGAAUUUACGGUGUAGCAGUGAAAUGCGUAGAUAUCGUAAGGAAGACCGGUGGCGAAGGCUAGUCUCUGGACAGUUACUGACACUGAGGCACGAAGGCCAGGGGAGCGAACGGG
rnacentral:rRNA from 1 species